CUACAUGCAGAUGCUUCUUUUUCGCUUCUAAUAGGAAUACAAAAAGUAAAAUGGUUAUAUAUAUGUUUAUAUAUUGAAAAGGUUGUGGAUAGAUUGAUAAGUUUUUUUAAAAAAAGCCGUUGUGGGAAAUUUCUAAGAACUUUUUCUUUUUAGAGCAGUUCUAAA